rnacentral:rRNA from 1 species
UGGGGAAUUUUGGACAAUGGGCGAAAGCCUGAUCCAGCAAUGCCGCGUGUGUGAAGAAGGCCUUCGGGUUGUAAAGCACUUUUGUCCGGAAAGAAAUCCUUGGCUCUAAUACAGUCGGGGGAUGACGGUACCGGAAGAAUAAGCACCGGCUAACUACGUGCCAGCAGCCGCGGUAAUACGUAGGGUGCAAGCGUUAAUCGGAAUUACUGGGCGUAAAGCGUGCGCAGGCGGUUUGCUAAGACCGAUGUGAAAUCCCCGGGCUCAACCUGGGAACUGCAUUGGUGACUGGCAGGCUAGAGUAUGGCAGAGGGGGGUAGAAUUCCACGUGUAGCAGUGAAAUGCGUAGAGAUGUGGAGGAAUACCGAUGGCGAAAGGCAGCCCCCCUGGGCCAAUACUGACGCUCAUGCACGAAAGCGUGGGGAGCAAACAGGAUUAGAUGCCCGUGUCACGCCCUAAACGAUGUCAACUAGUUGUUGGGGAUUCAUUUCCUUAGUAACGUAGCUAACGCGUGAAGUUGACCGCCUGGGGAGUACGGUCGCAAGAUUAAAACUCAAAUGAAUUGACGGGGUCAUAGCUGUUUCCU